UACAGAGGGGGCUAGCGUUAUUCGGAAUUAUUGGGCGUAAAGGGUGCGUAGGCGGCCACGCGUGUCUUUCGUGAAAUCCCUCGGCUUAACUGAGGACGUGCGGAAGAAACUGCGAGGCUUGAGUCCGGGAGAGGGGGGUGGAAUUCCCAGUGUAGCGGUGAAAUGCGUAGAUAUCGGGAGGAACACCAGUGGCGAAGGCGGCGACCUGGGCCAAUACUGACGCUGAGGUGCGAAAGCGUGGGGAGCAAACAGG
rnacentral:rRNA from 1 species